UACGGAGGGUGCAAGCGUUAUCCGGAUUUAUUGGGCGUAAAGGGCGCGUAGGCGGCCACGCACGUCCGUUGUGAAAUCGCUCGGCUCAACUGGGCGGGGUCAGCGGAUACGGUGUGGCUAGAGCAAGCUAGGGGGCAAUGGAAUUCCCGGUGUAGUGGUGGAAUGCGUAGAUAUCGGGAGGAACACCAGUGGCGAAGGCGGUUGCCUGGAGCUUUGCUGACGCUGAUGCGCGAAAGCGUGGGGAGCGAUCCGG
rnacentral:rRNA from 1 species